rnacentral:rRNA from 1 species
CUGCGGUAGUCUUACCUAGAGUUGUAGGCUUUGCCUGCUAUCUCUUACCCAAGUCUUUUGAGUACCUUACGUUUCCUCGGCGGGUCCGCCCGCCGAUUGGACAAUUUAAACCAUUUGCAGUUGCAAUCAGCGUCUGAAAAAACUUAAUAGUUACAACUUUCAACAACGGAUCUCUUGGUUCUGGCAUCGAUGAAGAACGCAGCGAAAUGCGAUAAGUAGUGUGAAUUGCAGAAUUCAGUGAAUCAUCGAAUCUUUGAACGCACAUUGCGCCCCUUGGUAUUCCAUGGGGCAUGCCUGUUCGAGCGUCAUUUGUACCUUCAAGCUCUGCUUGGUGUUGGGUGUUUGUCUCGCCUCUGCGUGUAGACUCGCCUCAAAACAAUUGGCAGCCGGCGUAUUGAUUUCGGAGCGCAGUACAUCUCGCGCUUUGCACUCAUAACGACGACGUCCAAAAGUACAUUUUUACACUCUUGACCUCGGAUCAGGUAGGGAUACCCGCUGAACUUAAGCAUAUCAAUAAGCGGAGGAA